rnacentral:rRNA from 1 species
UCUUGGUCAUUUAGAGGAAGUAAAAGUCGUAACAAGGUUUCCGUAGGUGAACCUGCGGAAGGAUCAUUACUGCUUGCUCAUGGCCGGCUUGGUGGGGAAACCCGCCAGACGGUACGGCAACACACCCUUGACUAUCAUACCCAUUGUUACUUCCCUCGGUGGGGCAACCCGCCGCUGGGGACACCGUAAAUCCUCUUGUAUAAAGCAUAAACUUCUGAAACAAACCUAAAAUAUCACAACUUUCAACAAUGGAUCUCUUGGUUCUGGCAUCGAUGAAGAACGCAGCGAAAUGCGAUAAGUAGUGUGAAUUGCAGACUUUAGUGAAUCAUCGAAUCUUUGAACGCACAUUGCGCCCCUUGGUAUUCCAUUGGGCAUGCCUGUUCGAGCGUCAUUUACACCCUCAAGCUCCGCUUGGUGUUGGGCGUCUGUCCCCGCUUGACGCGAGGACUCGCCCCAAAUUGAUUGGCAGCAGCAUCGUCGGCUUCUUGCGCAGCACAAUGCGCUCUAGGAGGCUUGCGGCGGGCUAGCGACCACAAAGAUACCACCCAGUUUGACCUCGAAUCAGGUAGGGAUACCCGCUGAACUUAAGCAUAUCAAUAAGCGGAGGA